rnacentral:rRNA from 1 species
CUGCUGCCUCCCGUAGGAGUCUGGUCCGUGUCUCAGUACCAGUGUGGGGGACCUUCCUCUCAGAACCCCUACGCAUCGUCGCCUCGGUGGGCCGUUACCCCGCCGACUAGCUAAUGCGCCGCAUGCCCAUCCGUAGCCGGAAUCGCUUCCUUUAAUCCCUCAGGGAUGCCCCCGAAAGAUAUUACGCGGUAUUAGACGGAAUUUCUUCCGCUUAUCCCCCUGCUACGGGCAGGUCGCAUACGUGUUACUCACCCGUGCGCCGGUCGCCCG